AAUUGGUCAGGAGCUGGAGUCGUUCCCAUGAUGAGUCUAUGACAAGACGAAACCAAUU
rnacentral:hammerhead_ribozyme from 1 species